UUCAAUUUAAACCAUUGCUUCUGAUUAAAAUAUGAGUUCUCUCAUAAUAUUGCUUUUUUCCAGCGAAAAAGUAAUCUCAUCUGGAUCAGUGGAAGAAGUGUUAUUGUGGAAUAUGGGCUGGAGUGGUGUGGAUUAUUGUGAUGUUUUUAUCAGCGUUUGGACUUUAAUUCUGACGGCACCCAUUCACUGCAGAGCAUCCAUUGGUAAGCAAGUGAUGGAAUGCUACAUUUCUCCAAAUUCAGCUAAUUUUCUUUUUUGGGUGGCAUUAAUUGGUUGACUUGAUGCACUAAAUAGGUGACCACAUGCACAGAAUUAAAAUUUUGAAAACUCGAGACUAAAAAAGUUGAAUACAUACACAGGAGCACACAUAAUACAUGGAUUCAGGCUUAUUGAGCCAUGUUUUUUUCUCAUGUAAUGACAGAAAUAUACAAAAAUGUUAUAACUAUAUAUAAAACGUUUCUUAAAUGUCAAAAUGUGCCAAAAAGCAUGAUAUGAAUUUUUGGUGCAAAAUGGCUUUGACAUCCAAAUCCAAUGGCGUUGCUGUCAUGUCUAUAAGAAAUGAAUAAUUUAAAUAAUUUAUGAAUUUGUUAGAUACUUUUAUCUAAAGAGAUUUACAUUGCAUUCAAGCUAUACAUUUUGUAUGCAUUGGAAUCGAACCAUUUGUGCUGUUAACUGACUAAAUCAGUCAGCAUAUGUCCAUUUGUGAUGUUUGGCGCGUGCGCCCUAAAAGCCGUUAUCAAAACAGCCAUGUUGAGUCUCUGGGACAGAAAUGACUCAAUAUCGCACCGAAAUAAGUGUAUCUCCACGACAGGCUGAACAUAAGCGCGUCAAUACGGCUGUCAUCGAAAAGCUGCAUCUCAUUGACUGGGGAAUGGCUGAAUUCUAUCACCCAGGACAGGAGUACAACAUCAGAGUAGCCUCUCACUACUUUAAAGGACCAGAACUACUGAUAGAUUACCAGAUGUAUGACUACAGUCUUGAUAUGUGGAGUCUUGGUUGUAUGCUGGCCAGUAUGAUCUUUAGGAAAGAGCCGUUCUUCCAUGGGCAUAAUUACUAUGACCAGUUUGUUCACAGUGAAAACCAACACUUGGUCAAUCCUGAAGCUCCUGACUUUCUGGACAAGUUGCUGUGUUACAACCAUCAGACCAGACUGACUGCAAGAGAGGCCAUGGAGCACCCUCUACUUCUGUAAUAGCAUUUGAAAUAUUACAUUAGCACCAGUCCCUGUUGUGAAAGAUCAGUCUCGCCUCGCAGGAUCAACUACUGUGCCAACAACUAACACUGCAGUGAGCACUGCCACUAUGAUAACAGGAAUAGCUGCGCUUCCAGCCUUCACAGCUCUAGGGCCC